AAUAUUGCGCGAUGGAGGGAACUCUGACGCAGCGACGCCGCGUGAGCGAUGAAGGUCNNNGGAUCNUCAAGCUCUGUCCUUGGNGACNAAGGUCUUCGGACUUGACGGUACCUAAGGAGGAAGCCCCGGCUAACUACGUGCCAGCAGCCGCGGUAAUACGUAGGGGGCAAGCGUUUUCCGGAAUUAUUGGGCGUAAAGGGUGCGUAGGAGGCCUUUUAAGUCAGAUGUGAAAGCCCACCGCUUAACCGUGGGAAUGCAUUUGAAACUGGAGGGCUUGAGUAUCGGAGAGGGUAGUGGAAUUCCCAGUGUAGCGGUGGAAUGCGUAGAUAUUGGGAGGAACACCAGUGGCGAAGGCGACUACCUGGACGAAAACUGACGCUGAGGCACGAAAGCUAGGGGAGCAAACA
rnacentral:rRNA from 1 species